UGGAACACCUCCUUUCUAGAGACAAAAAAAAGGAUGUGAUUUAAAAUUAAAUUUAAAUUAAAAUCUUACUCUCGCUGUUAAUUCAAAAAAAAGAAAAGGCUUAAAAUACAGAGUCUCGUAGCUCAGCUGGUUAGAGUACUACACUGAUAAUGUAGGGGUCGGCAGUUCGAGUCUGCCCGGGACUACUAUUUAAAGUUAUAAAAAAGGAAAUUCUAGAAGCGAAUUUUGAAUUAUAAAUUUUAAAUGAUGAAUUUGAAAAAUAAUUCAAAAAAAUAAUUCAACAUUCAAAAUAGACAAUGGGGGAUUAGCUCAGCUGGCUAGAGCGCCUGCCUUGCAC
rnacentral:misc_RNA from 1 species